rnacentral:rRNA from 1 species
CUACGGGUGGCAGCAGUGGGGAAUAUUGCACAAUGGGGGAAACCCUGAUGCAGCAACGCCGCGUGGAGGAUGACGCAUUUCGGUGUGUAAACUCCUUUUAUGAGUCAAGAAAAUGACGGUAGCUCAUGAAUAAGCACCGGCUAACUCCGUGCCAGCAGCCGCGGUAAUACGGAGGGUGCAAGCGUUACUCGGAAUCACUGGGCGUAAAGGACGCGUAGGCGGGCUUGUAAGUCAGGUGUGAAAUCCUACAGCUUAACUGUAGAACUGCACUUGAAACUACGAGCCUAGAGUAUGGGAGGGGCAGAUGGAAUUAGUGGUGUAGGGGUAAAAUCCGUAGAUAUCACUAGGAAUACCGAAAGCGAAGGCGAUCUGCUGGAACAUUACUGACGCUAAGGCGUGAAAGCGUGGGGAGCAAACGGGAUUAGAUACCCUGGUAGUC